UUACUCAUAAGGGCGUACGGAGGAUGCCUUGACACUAAAAGGCGAUGAAGGUCGUGGCGUGUCUGCGAUAAGCUUCGGGGAGGCGACUAGCAACCAUUGAUCCGGAGAUAACCGAAUGGGGAAACCCAAUCAUGUGAACCAUGAUUAUCUCGCGCAAGCGAGAAGUAUACCUGGUGAAGUGAAACAUCUUAGUAACCAGAGGAAAAGAAAUAGAAUAGAUACCGUAAGUAGCGGCGAGCGAAAGCGGCAUAGCCUAAACCGAUGCAUAGCAUCGGGAAUCUCUAAUAUCGAAUUUCUAAACUCUAAACAAUAUCAAAAUCCAAAAUUAAAAAUUUGGGAUUUGUUUAGGAUUUAGAGAUUAGGAUUUAGGAUUUCCGCUGCUGUGCAGCGGUGUAAUAGGGAUGAUACACUUGAAUUUUUAAUAUCGAUUUUUUUGAAAUCGGUAUUAAAAAUUUAUAAGAAGUUAAAAAUUUGGGUGUUAGCAGAAUGGCCCUGGAACGGCCAACCAAAGAAGGUGAAAGUCCUGUAAGCGAAAACAGCCAAACUUCUGUGUCAUUACCUGAGUAGCCCGGGAUAAGACUGUCCUGGGGGAAUUAGUCCAUACUACUGGAUAAGGCUAAAUACUUUUAGUGAUCGAUAGUGAACAAGUACCGUGAGGGAAAGGUGAAAAGCACCCCGGUGAGGGGAGUGAAAUAGUAACUGAAACCGUAUGCCUACAAAGAGCAGGAGCUGGUGCUGCGCACUGGAAAUUCGAAGCACGAAUAUCGAAAUUCUAAACAAAUUCAAAAUUCGAAAUUCAAAUAUUUAAACAUUUGGAUUUUAGUUAUUUGAUAUUGUUUCGGAUUUAGGAUUUCGGAUUUAGGAUUUGCAGCGCGUAGCGCUGGUGACUGUGUGCCUAUUGAAGAAUGACCCAACGAGUUUAUCUAAAUUGCCAACUAUAAGUCCUAAUCGGACGGAUAGGUAGGGAAACCGAGUGUUAAAAGCGCGACUCUAACUUAACUAACAACUUACGACUUUGCAGAAAUGUUCAGUUGUUCGUUGUUAGUUACGUUAGUAAGCAGUUUGGAUAAGACCCGAAGCCAGGCGAGCUAACCAUGACCAGGGUGAAGCUCUGCGAAAGCGGAGUGGAGGCCCGAACUAGUUGGUCGCUCAAUGCCAUUGGAUGAGUUGUGGUUGGAAGUGAAAAGCUUAUCGAGCUUGGUAAUAGCUGGUUCUCUCCGAAAUGCGUUUAGGCGCAGCGGUAUAUAGUAGCAGGAGGGGUAGAGCACUGAAUGGUUUGUCGUGCCCUUUUGGGUAGACUUACCAAACAAACUCCGAAUACUCCUGUGGAAUGUAUACCAGUGAGUACGCGAGGGCAAAGCUUCGUGUACGCGAGGGAAAGAGCCCAGAUCACAAAUUAAGGUCCCUAAAUUUAUGCUAAGUGUUAAAGGAAGUAUUUUGCCUUAGACAGGUAGGAGGUUGGCUUAGAAGCAGCCACCCUUUAAAGAGUGCGUAAUAGCUCACUACUCGACGUUGUCGCAAGAUGACGAGGCAAGAUGCGCCGAAAAUGUAACGGGGCUAAGCAUAAUACCGAAAUUGUGAGUGCGCACAGCGCACAAGUUGAAAGUUAAAAGUUCAUCAAGUUCAUAAAGUAAUCCGCCAGUUGGCGGACAAAAAACUUUAUAACUUUAAAACUUUAUAAACUUGUAACUUGCGCGCUGUGCGCGCGGUAGGAGAGCAUUUUCAAUGCAGUGAAGGUACACUGUGAAGUGUACUGGAGCGUUGAGAAGGGAGAAUGUUGGGAUGAGUAACCGCAAGAUCGGUGAAAGACCGAUCCGCCGAAAGCCUGAGGUUUCCUCCGCGAUGGUAAUCAUCGGAGGGUUAGGCGUUCCUAAGGAUAACCGUACUUUAGGGUAUGGGAAGCCGAUGGACAGCCGGUUAAUAUUCCGGCCCCGCUUGCACAUUUUAGGGAAUAACGGGUGAUAUAAGAUCGAGCGCAUUAUUGGAUUUGACGUCUUUGCUCCUAGAGCAGUGAUUAGGUAAAUCCGGUCACAGCCGCAAGGCAUGUUCGAAAGCAAAAGAAAUCCGUCGUGAGACGGAAAUUCGAUCGAAGAGUGCUCCAAGAAAAGUUUCUAAAUUUAAUGUGUAAGCGUACGUACCGCAAAACCGACACAGGUAGGCUGGUAUAAGUGUACCGAGGCGAACGGGUGAUUAUUGGCUAAGGAACUCGGCAAAAAAGCGGCCGUAAGUUCGCGAUAAGGCCUGCCCAGACUAAUCUCUGGGCCGCAGCUAAAGAACCCCUGGCGACUGUUUAUCAAAAACACAACUCUGUGCAAAGCCGAAAGGCAACGUAUACAGGGUGACGCUUGUCCGGUGCCGGUACGUUAACGGUGAAGGUGGUGUGCAGCAAUGUACAUUGCUAACGCCCGAAGCGCCGGUGAACGACGGCGAUAACUAUAAUCGUCCAAAGGUAGGAAUAAAGUGCUGCCUUUGUAAAAUUCGACUAUUUGCUGGAAAACCUGUUGUAUCUUGGACUACGUUUACGUAUAAUAAAGGUAUAAUGUUACCUUAGUUACAUGAGACGUGAUAAUGUUUCAGGUGCAGGCAAUCAGCAGGAAAGACUAAAAACUAUCGGGUGGAUAGUGGGAUUUGUUGAUGGUGAAGGAUGUUUCUCUGUAAGUAUAUUUCGCAAUCCAACUGCUAAGACCAAGACUGGUUGGCAAAUUUUUUCUGAAUUUGUCGUAAGUCAAGGAGAAAGCAGCAGAAAAUCUCUUAAUAAAAUCAUGAGAUAUUUCAAAUGCGGAUAUAUUAUAGUGAAUAAACGCAAAGAUAAUCACCAUGAGCAUAUGCUCAAGUAUUGCGUAAGAUCAAUUAACGAUCUGCGUGAAAAAAUUAUUCCAUUUUUUGACAAACACCAGCUGGUAACAAGAAAAAAUAAAGAUUUCAAGAUUUUUAAGAAAAUUGUAAAUCUUAUAUACCAGCAAAAACAUCUGUCGAAAAAUGGCAUGAUCAGAAUAGCUCGGCUUAUCAGUACGAUGAACCGUAAGAAAUAUCCUAAGUUUUUAGAAUCCUCAGAGACUAUACGUCGGAUCCGCCUCAAUAGCGGAAAGAUAUAGUCCGAACUGCAUGGCGACAUGCAGAAUAACAUAAUUAAGCGAAAUUCCUUGUGGGGUAAGUUCCCACGCGCAUGAAUAGCGGAACGACUGGGGGACUGUCUCAGCCAAUAGCCCGGUGAAAAUGCAAUGUCUGUAAAGAUGCAGACUACCCGCACCAAGACGGAAAGACCCCGGAAGCUUCACUGCAGUUUGGUAUUGGUCUACGAGUUGUUAUACGUAGCGUAGUGAGUAGGAUUUGAAGUCACGUUUUCGGAUGUGAUGGAUCCGCCAAUGAAACAC
rnacentral:rRNA from 1 species